rnacentral:rRNA from 1 species
UCGGGUCGAGUAACACGUAGUAAUCUACCGAAGAGUCUGGAAUAACCUGCCGAAAGGCGGGCUAAUACUGGAUAGAGCGACGGGAUCCGUAAUUGGGUCUUUCGGGAAAGGGAGGAAGCAAUUCCCCUUGCUCUUCGAUGAGCCUGCGUCUCAUUAGCUAGUUGGCGGGGUAAUGGCCCACCAAGGCUUUGAUGAGUAGCUGGUCUGAGAGGA